CACGUAGGGGGCAAGCGUUGUCCGGAUUUAUUGGGCGUAAAGAGCUCGUAGGUGGUUCGGUAAGUCAGGUGUGAAACCUCCAGGCUCAACCUGGAGACGCCACUUGAUACUGCUGUGACUGGAGUCCGGUAGGGGAGCGUGGAAUUCCUGGUGUAGCGGUGAAAUGCGUAGAUAUCUGGAGGAAUACCGGUGGCGAAGGCGGCAUCCUGGACCGGCAUUGACGCUGAUGAGCGAAAGCUAGGGGAGCAAACGGG
rnacentral:rRNA from 1 species